rnacentral:snoRNA from 1 species
UGUAUUUUCUUCCUUCUUUAUAUAGUUCUAUAUUUUACAAAAGCAAUCCAGAGGAGGAGGAGAAGGAGGAGGAGGAGUGCCAUAGGAACACUGUAACUCAUGGCCCCUGAACCCCUUGCCUGGGCUCAGGGAUAAAUUUGAUCACAGACAUAA